GACGAACGCUGGCGGCGUGCUUAACGCAUGCAAGUCGAACGGAAAGGCCCUGCUUUUGUGGGGUGCUCGAGUGGCGAACGGGUGAGUAACACGUGGGUAACCUGCCCUUGACUUUGGGAUAACUUCAGGAAACUGGGGCUAAUACCGGAUAGGAGCUCCUGCUGCAUGGUGGGGGUUGGAAAGUUUCGGCGGUUGGGGAUGGACUCGCGGCUUAUCAGCUUGUUGGUGGGGUAGUGGCUUACCAAGGCUUUGACGGGUAGCCGGCCUGAGAGGGUGACCGGCCACAUUGGGACUGAGAUACGGCCCAGACUCCUACGGGAGGCAGCAGUGGGGAAUAUUGCACAAUGGGCGGAAGCCUGAUGCAGCAACGCCGCGUGCGGGAUGACGGCCUUCGGGUUGUAAACCGCUUUCGCCUGUGACGAAGCGUGAGUGACGGUAAUGGGUAAAGAAGCACCGGGUAACUACGUG
rnacentral:rRNA from 1 species